UACGGAGGGUGCAAGCGUUAAUCGGAAUUACUGGGCGUAAAGCGUGCGCAGGCGGUUUGUUAAGUCUGCUGUGAAAUCCCCGAGCUCAACUUGGGAAUUGCAGUGGAUACUGGCAGGCUGGAGUAUGGUAGAGGAAGGUGGAAUUCCCGGUGUAGCAGUGAAAUGCGUAGAGAUCGGGAGGAACACCAGUGGCGAAGGCGGCCCGCUGGGCAACUGCUGACACUGAUGCGCGACAGCGUGGGGAGCAAACAGG
rnacentral:rRNA from 1 species